rnacentral:rRNA from 1 species
GCUGGCGGCAUGCUUAACACAUGCAAGUCGAACGGUAGCAGGCCUUCGGGCGCUGACGAGUGGCGGACGGGUGAGGAAUACGUAGGAAUCUGCCUAGUAGUGGGGGAUAACGUGGGGAAACUCACGCUAAUACCGCAUACGCUCUACGGAGGAAAGCGGGGGCUCGCAAGACCUCGCGUUACUAGAUGAGCCUACGUCGGAUUAGCUAGUUGGUAGGGUAAAGGCCUACCAAGGCGACGAUCCGUAGCUGGUCUGAGAGGAUGAUCAGCCACACUGGGACUGAGACACGGCCCAGACUCCUACGGGAGGCAGCAGUGGGGAAUAUUGGACAAUGGGGGCAACCCUGAUCCAGCAAUGCCGCGUGUGUGAAGAAGGCCUUCGGGUUGUAAAGCACUUUCAUCAGGAAAGAAAAGCUUGUGGCUAAUACCCAUGAGUCUUGACGUUACCUGCAGAAGAAGCACCGGCUAACUCUGUGCCAGCAGCCGCGGUAAUACAGAGGGUGCAAGCGUUAAUCGGAAUUACUGGGCGUAAAGCG